GUGAACGCUGGCGGUAGGCCUAACACAUGCAAGUCGAACGGCAGCACAGUAAGAGCUUGCUCUUACGGGUGGCGAGUGGCGGACGGGUGAGGAAUACAUCGGAAUCUACUUUUUCGUGGGGGAUAACGUAGGGAAACUUACGCUAAUACCGCAUACGACCUACGGGUGAAAGCAGGGGAUCUUCGGACCUUGCGCGAUUGAAUGAGCCGAUGUCGGAUUAGCUAGUUGGCGGGGUAAAGGCCCACCAAGGCGACGAUCCGUAGCUGGUCUGAGAGGAUGAUCAGCCACACUGGAACUGAGACACGGUCCAGACUCCUACGGGAGGCAGCAGUGGGGAAUAUUGGACAAUGGGCGGAAGCCUGAUCCAGCCAUACCGCGUGGGUGAAGAAGGCCUUCGGGUUGUAAAGCCCUUUUGUUGGGAAAGAAAAGCAGCAGGUUAAUACCCCGCUGUUCUGACGGUACCCAAAGAAUAAGCACCGGCUAACUUCGUG
rnacentral:rRNA from 1 species